rnacentral:tRNA from 1 species
GUAGGGAUAGCUCAGUGGCAGGGCACAUGCUUAGCAUGUUUGAAGCCCUAGGUUCAAUCCCCAGUGCCUCCA